rnacentral:rRNA from 1 species
AUUGAACGCUGGCGGCAGGCCUAACACAUGCAAGUCGAGCGGAGCGGCGGACGGGUGAGUAAUGCCUAGGAAUCUGCCUGGGAGUGGGGGAUAACGUCAGGAAACGGGCGCUGAUACCGCAUACUCUCAGAUGAGCCUAGGUCGGAGUAGCUAGUUGGUGGGGUAAAGGCCUACCAAGGCGACGAGCCGUAGCUGGUCUGAGAGGAUGAUCAGUCACACUGGAACUGAGACACGGUCCAGACUCCUACGGGAGGCAGCAGUGGGGAAUAUUGGACAAUGGGCGAAAGCCUGAUGCAGCCAUGCCGCGUGUGUGAAGAAGGUCUUCGGAUUGUAAAGCACUGUAAGUGGGGAGGCGUUACCUGCAGAAUAAGCACCGGCUAACUUCGUGCCAGCAGCCGCGGUAAUAC